rnacentral:lncRNA from 1 species
AAUCAUGAUGUUGUAACUUCUCACACCCUUCUGUAUGUCCGUCGUGAGCAGCCUGCUUCCAAGGUUUUUGUGCAGACACAUUCUCAGCCUGAAUCCCAAACUAGAAUCAUUCAACACCAUCAGGAUCAGACGUUCUUCCAAAGCAGCAAUCUUUCUCUAGAGGGCCCAGUAGAACCUCAAAACCAAGAACUCCAUUCUUCUCAGCUGCAGUCACAAUUGGAAACCACCAGUGGCAUACAACCCCAGUUUCUCCCCCUGGUUCAAGAAAAAUCUCCAAAAGCCCAGAGCAAAACUAUAUGCCAAGUACAGCAUGCAGAGCUCAAACAGACUUUGCUGUCAUCUGUUGUUAGCAGGAAGGUUCAGUUGAAACCCCAAACUGAUUUUCAACUGAUCUCUGUAGACUCAAGCCUAACCAGUCGCUUUGGACCUUCAGACCUUCAAGCUGCCUUAGUAAACUCAAGCCAAAAGAGUGGCAUUGGACCUUUACAGGUUAUCUCUGUAGACCCAAACCAAUCCAGUGACUUUGGACCAUCAGAGCAACAGGUUGUUUCUUCCACCUCAAGCCAAACCAGUGGUUUUAGACCAUUAGACUCUCUCCAGGUUAUAUCUGUAGACUCAGGUGAAACCAGGGGCUUUGGACCAUCAGACCUUCAGGUUAUCUCUGUAGACUCAAGCCAAAGCAGUGGCAUAGAACAUUCAAUCCCUCUACAGUCUUUCUCUUCAAUGGCGUCUAGCCCAAGCAUGUUGCUUACAUCGGUUACCGUGACUCAACUAAGAAUGCCAGUCGAGCAGCAUCUUGAUUCACCACCACAAACCUUCUUGGUGACCCCACACCAAAGACAAAAGGUUCUGGCCAAAAGUCACAGUUUUCCAAAAUCCCAUGAGCAAUCACAUACCUCACUUGUAUCCUGCCCAAGCACUUUGCAUACACCGGUAACAGUCACUCAACAAAGAACGCCUGUCGAACAGAACCUUGGUUCACCACCGAAAAGGCAACCUCAGACCUCUGUGACAACCCAACAUCAAAGACAAAGGGUUCUAUCCAAAAGUCACAGCUUUCCACAGCCAUCAGAGGCUCCAGGUGUUCCCCAUGUCCCAGUACAGAAUGAGGUGUAUGCCGAACACAUACAGGAUGUCAUCACAGUGAUCGGCACCAGAGACAGAUCUAAAAAACAAGCCAAGAAAAAACAGGUGAGGCCAUUUCAAAAUGUGGUGAGUUUUCAAUCCAAUAAUUAUUUAAUCAAAUAA